UACGUAGGUGGCUAGCGUUGUCCGGAAUUAUUGGGCGUAAAGCGCGCGCAGGCGGUCCUUUAAGUCUGGUGUGAAAGCCCACGGCUCAACCGUGGAGGGUCAUUGGAAACUGGGGGACUUGAGUGCAGAAGAGGAGAGUGGAAUUCCACGUGUAGCGGUGAAAUGCGUAGAGAUGUGGAGGAACACCGGUGGCGAAGGCGGCAUCCUGGACCGAGAUUGACGCUGAGGCGCGAAAGCCAGGGGAGCAAACGGG
rnacentral:rRNA from 1 species